GCCAAGGCUACCAUGCAGUCGACGAUGAACCGCUUUCGGGCGGGGAUUAGUGGCGAACGGGUGAGUAACACGUGGGCAAUCUGCCCUGCACUCUGGGACAAGCCCUGGAAACGGGGUCUAAUACCGGAUAUGACUGUCCAUCGCAUGGUGGAUGGUGUAAAGCUCCGGCGGUGCAGGAUGAGCCCGCGGCCUAUCAGCUUGUUGGUGAGGUAGUGGCUCACCAAGGCGACGACGGGUAGCCGGCCUGAGAGGGCGACCGGCCACACUGGGACUGAGACACGGCCCAGACUCCUACGGGAGGCAGCAGUGGGGAAUAUUGCACAAUGGGCGAAAGCCUGAUGCAGCGACGCCGCGUGAGGGAUGACGGCCUUCGGGUUGUAAACCUCUUUCAGCAGGGAAGAAGCGAAAGUGACGGUACCUGCAGAAGAAGCGCCGGCUAACUACGUGCCAGCAGCCGCGGGUAAUACA
rnacentral:rRNA from 1 species